rnacentral:rRNA from 1 species
UACGUAGGGGGCAAGCGUUAUCCGGAUUUACUGGGUGUAAAGGGAGCGUAGGUGGUUUGGUAAGUCAGAUGUGAAAGCCCGGGGCUCAACCCCGUGAUUGCAUUUGAAACUAUCAAACUAGAGUACAGGAGAGGUAAGUGGAAUUCCUAGUGUAGCGGUGAAAUGCGUAGAUAUUAGGAGGAACACCAGUGGCGAAGGCGGCUUACUGGACUGUAACUGACACUGAGGCUCGAAAGCGUGGGGAGCAAACAGG